GUGAGUUUGUGCAACACGAGGAGCGUGAAGCAUAACCUCGAUCCUUAAAGCAUCUAACACAGCCAUAAUAUUCGGAUUGUCGUUUGUCGGAUUGUCGUUUCCGCUUCGUGCGCCGGAGAUCAAGGCGGAGGUUUUCAGCUGCAAUUUAGUUGCCCGGGACGACAAAAAAGACCAGUGAGCUCACACGACGACACGACGCCUCGAGGAAGAAGAAAGGAACAAUCGCACCAUUCGAGCACGUGCCAGUGGUUCCUAAACGCCCCUCUGUUGUUUUGACACGCCAACAAAGGAAACCAUCUCUUCGUCGGAAAAAAGGCCCCUUCACAGGG